rnacentral:rRNA from 1 species
GUGCCAGCCGCCGCGGUAACACGGGGGGAGCAAGCGUUGUUCGGAAUCACUGGGCGUAAAGGGCGUGUAGGCGGCUAGGUAAGUGGAAUGUGAAAUCCCUCGGCUCACCCGAGGACCUGCAUCCCAAACUGCCUGGCUUGAGUAUGGGAGAGGAUGAGGGAAUUCCUGGUGUAGCGGUGAAAUGCGUAGAUAUCAGGAGGAACACCGGUGGCGAAGGCGCUCAUCUGGCCCAAUACUGACGCUGAGGCGCGAAAGCUAGGGGAGCGAACGGGAUUAGAAACCCUCGUAGUCC